ACGUAUGUCGCAAGCGUUAUCCGGAAUUAUUGGGCGUAAAGGGCAUCUAGGCGGUCAAUCAAGUCGAAGGUGAAAACUUGUGGCUCAACCAUAAGCUUGCCUACGAAACUGAUUAACUAGAGUACUGGAGAGGUGGACGGAACUACACGAGUAUAGGUGGAAUUCGUAGAUCUGUGGAGGAAUGCCGAUGAUGAAGAUAGUAAACUGGACAGAAACUGACGCUGAAGUGCGAAAUCUAGUGGUGCUAACAG
rnacentral:rRNA from 1 species